GCGCCGCGUAUCGGAUGGAGAAGGCCGGCCAGCCCUUCGCAGGCGGCCGGCACGCGAACCGGCCGCGCGUGCACCGGUCCGGCUUUCGGUUCGGCGCGC
rnacentral:tRNA from 1 species